UGGGGAAUUUUCCGCAAUGGGGGGAACCCUGACGGAGCAACGCCGCGUGCGGGAGGACGGCCUGUGGGUUGUAAACCGCUUUUCUCUAGGGAGAAGGUCUGACGGUACUAGCGGAAUCAGCAUCGGCUAACUCCGUGCCAGCACCCGCGGUAAGACGGAGGAUCCAAGCGUUAUCCGGAAUUAUUGGGCGUAAAGCGUCCGUAGGCGGUUUACCAAGUCAGUUGUUAAAGACUGCAGCUCAACUGUGGGCGAGCAACUGAAACUGAUGAACUAGAGUGCGGUAGGGGUAGAGGGAAUUCCCAGUGUAGCGGUGAAAUGCGUAGAUAUUGGGAAGAACACCAGUGGCGAAGGCGCUCUACUGGGCCGCAACUGACGCUGAGGGACGAAAGCUAGGGGAGCGAAAGGGAUUAGAUACCCCUGUAGUCC
rnacentral:rRNA from 1 species